rnacentral:misc_RNA from 1 species
CACGUGAACCCCAAGCGUUAUCCGGAUUUAUUGGGCGUAAAGGGUGUGUAGGCGGCUCUGUUAGUCUUUUGUCAAAGACCUCAGCUCAACUGAGGGACGGCAAGGGAAACGGCAGAGCUUGAGGAUGCGAGAGGUGUACGGAACUCAUGGUGUAGAGGUGAAAUUCGUUGAUAUCAUGGGGAACGCCAAAGGCGAAGGCAGUACACUGGCGCAUUCCUGACGCUGAGACACGAAAGCCAGGGUAGCGAACGGG